UAUGAACGCUAGCUACAGGCUUAACACAUGCAAGUCGAGGGGCAGCAUAUUUCUAGCAAUAGAGAUGAUGGCGACCGGCGCACGGGUGAGUAACACGUAUCCAACCUGCCUUAUACUCGGGGAUAGCCUUUCGAAAGAAAGAUUAAUACCCGAUGUUAUAGUCUAACCGCAUGAUUUGACUAUAAAAGAUUUUCGGUAUAAGAUGGGGAUGCGUUCCAUUAGGCAGUUGGCGGGGUAACGGCCCACCAAACCUACGAUGGAUAGGGGUUCUGAGAGGAAGGUCCCCCACAUUGGAACUGAGACACGGUCCAA
rnacentral:rRNA from 1 species